rnacentral:tRNA from 1 species
CCGCCGUUCUGGUGGAUGGCCUGGGUCUUCGGCCUUCCGGCGGCCGGGUUUUCGGGAGCCGGGGCCGAGUGGAUGAUCGCGAUCAUCUUCGGCGGC